UGGGGAAUAUUGUACAAUGGAGGGAACUCUGAUGCAGCGACGCCGCGUGAGUGAUGAAGGAAUUCGUUUCGUAAAAAUCUGUUCUAUGGGAAGAAAAGGACUGUACCAUAGGAGAAAGCUCCGGCUAAAUACGUGCCAGCAGCCGCGGUAAUACGUAUGGAGCGAGCGUUGUCCGGAAUUAUUGGGCGCAAAGGGUGCGCAGGCGGCUUUACAAGUUGGAUGUGAAAUAUUGUGGCUCAACCACAAACGUGCAUCCAAAACUGCAAAGCUUGAGUUAAUGAGGGGUAAGUGGAAUUCCUGGUAUAGCCGUUGAAUGCGUAGAUAUCAGGAGGAAUACCGGUGGCGGAGGCGACUUACUGGACUUAAACUGACGCUCAGGCACGAAAGCGUGGGGAGCAAACAGG
rnacentral:rRNA from 1 species